rnacentral:lncRNA from 11 species
UUGAUAAUGUUGAUUUCAUAUUGAUUUCAGAAAGAAAGGUAGAUGUUGGAUCAGAAGUCCAGAUUUCCUGCAAAUUGAAAGGAACCAAAGUGACAUGGUAUUGGAUUCCACGCUAUCCCGUCUGCCUUGGCAUAAAGGGUGAUAAUAAGGGAGAUAGAAAUUUUCUCUGUGAUUUCUAACACAAGUCAAACGCGUGAGAGAUUUUGCGGUCGCUUGAACCAACAAUUAGAAAAAGAGAAGGUAACCUCUGUCAUCCUCAAACCUCUCUACAUGAAUGACUCGGGUAUUUUCUACUGUUCUAAUGGUAGCAAGGAAUCAGCACGGAUCUCAGUCACUGUGAAACCAGGUUAUCAAAAUGGGAUUACCCAUAACUACUCAGGGGAAAAGAAAAGCAGGAUAAUAACAAUGACCUGCAACGAAUGUAAGAACAAGAUGAAGAAGGGGAUUAAUAGAGAUGGCAUCAUUAUCAACUGGACGCUAAAUGGCAAUCCUUCUUCUGAAGAAAACAUUGGCAGUGUAACAAGGAAGAGCCUAAGACUCCAAAUACCCUUUGGGCGUUACUUUGGUCUGUGGAAAUGCAUCCGUCCUAAUUGCCUUACAGAGUUUGAUGGCUACUGCUUGGGAAAUGAUUCAGAAACUUCAAAGAAUUCAGGUGAUGUGGAAACAACUGCAUCUCCAACAGGUAAAAGUGUGCGACACUGGGGCUUCUUUGGGUCUGAAGUAGCCAUUCUUUGGGUAGAACGUAUUUUAUUUAGGGGGCUUUAUUUCGAACUGGUGGUUAAUGCUUUACAAAAAAGACCAAUUCUUGGUGGAGAGUAAAAUAGUGAGGGUGGGUAUGGAGCAAACAGCCCUGGCUAAAUUAAUAUAUUAUUGUUUGGGAUGCAACUAUAGCAGGCAUGGGCAAAUUUGGGCCCUCCAGGGGUUUUGGACUUCAACUCCCAUCAUUCCUAACAGCCUCAGGCACCUUCCUUUCCCCCCUCAGCCGCUUAAGCUUAAGCCAUCGAUAGCUCUGCAGAGGACUUACAAAUUCAGAACUGCUAUUAC